rnacentral:rRNA from 1 species
UCGGGGGGGGCAAGCGUUGUUCGGAAUUACUGGGCGUAAAGGGCGCGUAGGCGGCCUUCUAAGUCGAACGUGAAAUCCCUGGGCUCAACCCAGGAACUGCGUCCGAUACUGGAAGGCUUGAAUCCGGGAGAGGGAUGCGGAAUUCCAGGUGUAGCGGUGAAAUGCGUAGAUAUCUGGAGGAACACCGGUGGCGAAGGCGGCAUCCUGGACCGGUAUUGACGCUGAGGCGCGAAAGCCAGGGGAGCAAACAG